rnacentral:rRNA from 1 species
UACAGAGGUGGCAAGCGUUGUUCGGAAUUACUGGGCGUAAAGGGCGCGUAGGCGGUUCGUUAAGUCCUGUGUGAAAUCCCCCGGCUCAACUGGGGAACUGCACAGGAAACUAGCGGGCUUGAGUUCGGGAGAGGGAAGCGGAAUUCCGGGUGUAGCGGUGAAAUGCGUAGAUAUCUGGAGGAACACCGGUGGCGAAGGCGGGUUGCUGGGCUGACACUGACGCUGAGGCGCGAAAGCUAGGGGAGCGAACGGG